rnacentral:lncRNA from 1 species
UGGAGAUCCUGGCUCCGAUCAAAUACUAAGAGAUAUCAGAGCUUUCGUGCGCCAUCAGUUUUGGGAAACCUCUGUCGUAUUUUAAGUAGUUUGGUAACUCUGAUAGUACAAUCUGGUUGGUAAACCUUUGUUAUGCAUGCAGUUCUGCUACCCUCAUUUGAAAUUUUCUACCUGGUGAACUGUUCCGUUUAUCAAAUGUGUGCAUUUGGAGAUUCUAGUGAAUGUCUAUCAGGUGAUUAUAUGUUGCUGAAGCCGGGUUUUUUAAUUUAGUACAGCAUUAGCAGUCCCUUGUUAUCGUGGGAAAUUUAAAAGUAACGUGUUUCCCUUUGUACAUGUCUUUCUCUUUCACUCGUCAGGUUAGCGGCUAGGAAAGUCUAGUAGUGA